UGCAGUCGAACGAACUCUGGUAUUGAUUGGUGCUUGCAUCAUGAUUUACAUUUGAGUGAGUGGCGAACUGGUGAGUAACACGUGGGAAACCUGCCCAGAAGCGGGGGAUAACACCUGGAAACAGAUGCUAAUACCGCAUAACAACUUGGACCGCAUGGUCCGAGUUUGAAAGAUGGCUUCGGCUAUCACUUUUGGAUGGUCCCGCGGCGUAUUAGCUAGAUGGUGGGGUAACGGCUCACCAUGGCAAUGAUACGUAGCCGACCUGAGAGGGUAAUCGGCCACAUUGGGACUGAGACACGGCCCAAACUCCUACGGGAGGCAGCAGUAGGGAAUCUUCCACAAUGGACGAAAGUCUGAUGGAGCAACGCCGCGUGAGUGAAGAAGGGUUUCGGCUCGUAAAACUCUGUUGUUAAAGAAGAACAUAUCUGAGAGUAACUGUUCAGGUAUUGACGGUAUUUAACCAGAAAGCCACGGCUAACUACGUGCCAGCAGCCGCGGUAAUACGUAGGUGGCAAGCGUUGUCCGGAUUUAUUGGGCGUAAAGCGAGCGCAGGCGGUUUUUUAAGUCUGAUGUGAAAGCCUUCGGCUCAACCGAAGAAGUGCAUCGGAAACUGGGAAACUUGAGUGCAGAAGAGGACAGUGGAACUCCAUGUGUAGCGGUGAAAUGCGUAGAUAUAUGGAAGAACACCAGUGGCGAAGGCGGCUGUCUGGUCUGUAACUGACGCUGAGGCUCGAAAGUAUGGGUAGCAAACAGGAUUAGAUACCCUGGUAGUCCAUACCGUAAACGAUGAAUGCUAAGUGUUGGAGGGUUUCCGCCCUUCAGUGCUGCAGCUAACGCAUUAAGCAUUCCGCCUGGGGAGUACGGCCGCAAGGCUGAAACUCAAAGGAAUUGACGGGGGCCCGCACAAGCGGUGGAGCAUGUGGUUUAAUUCGAAGCUACGCGAAGAACCUUACCAGGUCUUGACAUACUAUGC
rnacentral:rRNA from 1 species